GGGGUGUUAGCUCAGCUGAUAGAGCGCUUCGCUGGCAGCGAAGAGGUCACGAGUUUGAGUCUCGUACACUCCACCA
rnacentral:tRNA from 1 species